rnacentral:rRNA from 1 species
AGAGUUGAUCCUGGCUCAGAUUGAACGCUGGCGGCAUGCUUACACAUGCAAGUCGAACGGGUGAGGAGCUUGCUCCUCAUCUAGUGGCGAACGGGUGAGUAAUACAUCGGAACGUACCGUGUAGUGGGGGAUAACGUAGCGAAAGUUACGCUAAUACCGCAUACGAUCCACGGAUGAAAGCAGGGGACCUUCGGGCCUUGUGCUAUACGAGCGGCCGAUGUCUGAUUAGCUAGUUGGUGGGUAAAGGCCCACCAAGGCAACGAUCAGUAGCGGGUCUGAGAGGAUGAUCCGCCACACUGGGACUGAGACACGGCCCAGACUCCUACGGGAGGCAGCAGUGGGGAAUUUUGGACAAUGGGCGCAAGCCUGAUCCAGCCAUGCCGCGUGUCUGAAGAAGGCCUUCGGGUUGUAAAGGACUUUUGUCAGGGAGCAAAACCCAGCAGCUAAUAUCUGUUGGGGAUGAGAGUACCUGAAGAAUAAGCACCGGCUAACUACGUG